GACGAACGCUGGCGGCGUGCCUAAUACAUGCAAGUAGAACGCUGAAGAGAGGAGCUUGCUCUUCUUGGAUGAGUUGCGAACGGGUGAGUAACGCGUAGGUAACCUGCCUUGUAGCGGGGGAUAACUAUUGGAAACGAUAGCUAAUACCGCAUAACAAUGGAUGACACAUGUCAUUUAUUUGAAAGGGGCAAUUGCUCCACUACAAGAUGGACCUGCGUUGUAUUAGCUAGUAGGUGAGGUAACGGCUCACCUAGGCGACGACACAUAGCCGACCUGAGAGGGUGAUCGGCCACACUGGGACUGAGACACGGCCCAGACUCCUACGGGAGGCAGCAGUAGGGAAUCUUCGGCAAUGGGGGCAACCCUGACCGAGCAACGCCGCGUGAGUGAAGAAGAUUUUCGGAUCGUAAAGCUCUGUUGUAAGUCAAGAACGAGUGUGAGAGUGGAAAGUUCACACUGUGACGGUAGCUUACCAGAAAGGGACGGCUAACUACGUGCCAGCAGCCGCGGUAAUACGUAGGUCCCGAGCGUUGUCCGGAUUUAUUGGGCGUAAAGCGAGCGCAGGCGGUUUGAUAAGUCUGAAGUUAAAGGCUGUGGCUCAACCAUAGUUCGCUUUGGAAACUGUCAAACUUGAGUGCAGAAGGGGAGAGUGGAAUUCCAUGUGUAGCGGUGAAAUGCGUAGAUAUAUGGAGGAACACCGGUGGCGAAAGCGGCUCUCUGGUCUGUAACUGACGCUGAGGCUCGAAGGCGUGGGGAGCGAACAGGAUUAGAUACCCUGGUAGUCCACGCCGUAAACGAUGAGUGCUAGGUGUUGGAUCCUUUCCGGGAUUCAGUGCCGCAGCUAACGCAUUAAGCACUCCGCCUGGGGAGUACGACCGCAAGGUUGAAACUCAAAGGAAUUGACGGGGGCCCGCACAAGCGGUGGAGCAUGUGGUUUAAUUCGAAGCAACGCGAAGAACCUUACCAGGUCUUGACAUCCCGAUGCUAUUUCUAGAGAUAGAAAGUUACUUCGGUACAUCGGUGACAGGUGGUGCAUGGUUGUCGUCAGCUCGUGUCGUGAGAUGUUGGGUUAAGUCCCGCAACGAGCGCAACCCCUAUUGUUAGUUGCCAUCAUUCAGUUGGGCACUCUAGCGAGACUGCCGGUAAUAAACCGGAGGAAGGUGGGGAUGACGUCAAAUCAUCAUGCCCCUUAUGACCUGGGCUACACACGUGCUACAAUGGUUGGUACAACGAGUUGCGAGUCGGUGACGGCAAGCUAAUCUCUUAAAGCCAAUCUCAGUUCGGAUUGUAGGCUGCAACUCGCCUACAUGAAGUCGGAAUCGCUAGUAAUCGCGGAUCAGCACGCCGCGGUGAAUACGUUCCCGGGCCUUGUACACACCGCCCGUCACACCACGAGAGUUUGUAACACCCGAAGUCGGUGAGGUAACCUUUUGGAGCCAGCCGCCUAAGGUGGGAUAGAUGAUUGGGG
rnacentral:rRNA from 1 species